CGAGGCGUGGCCAGAACGCGUGCCCGGAGGGUGGUAGGUCACCGCGCUCCUAGCACCUGAGACCUGGGGCGCCCCUGGCCUGAGUGAACGCGCCAAUCACGGCUGCACUCUCCUGAACAGGGAACUGGCGGGGCGGGAAAAAUCGACUUGGUUCCGGGUUCGCAAGCGGAUUUACUUUGAAAAAAUUGGAUUUAUGACCCAGCAGUUCCCUUGGUGUCUAUCUCAGAGUAACCCUCGCACAAUGCAUAAAAAGUAAGCGGAUGUUAUUGCUCUUCCACCCUCCAGAAAGUCAACAGGCAAAAUACCUUGAGCAUCCCAAAAAGCUGCUGCUAUGACUUCGGCUCUUGACCAGUCUACUUUUGAUUUGACUGGACCACUUGCACCUCUUGCAUAUAAGGACACAACCAGAAGACAUCAAUCUGCAAACCAGAAAGUGGGCUCUCAUCAGACACUGAGUCUGCUGACACCUUGAUCUUGGACUUCCCAGCCUCCAGAA
rnacentral:lncRNA from 10 species